rnacentral:rRNA from 1 species
UGGCGGACGGGUGAGUAAUGUCUGGGAAACUGCCUGAUGGAGGGGGAUAACUACUGGAAACGGUAGCUAAUACCGCAUAACGUCGCAAGACCAAAGAGGGGGACCUUCGGGCCUCUUGCCAUCGGAUGUGCCCAGAUGGGAUUAGCUAGUAGGUGGGGUAACGGCUCACCUAGGCGACGAUCCCUAGCUGGUCUGAGAGGAUGACCAGCCACACUGGAACUGAGACACGGUCCAGACUCCUACGGGAGGCCAGCAUG